CGUCCGCUUCCACUACAAGGCUUUGGGAUGCCUAGUCUGUAGACUGGAGGAGCAUUAAUACUGACUCACGCAGAAAAGAUAUAGCUACAUAUUGGACUGGGGGAAGGGGUGGCAAAACCCUCUGCAAAUAGGAAGUGCCACAAGAGCACCGAGAUAAGGAUGAGGCCCUGCGUGAGCGCAGCCUUCGGGUUUUCCUUGGGCCGAUCAGCACCGACUCCCCCGCUCUCGGCGAGGCGCCUCCAGCUCCCGGGAAUGAGAAAUGUGCCCGCCGCAGCAGGGGCCCACAGGAAUGAAGGGCCCCGGCGCUGCGUAGGCCCAACAGUUCCCCGCGCUCUCGCCCCCGGCCCAGCCCCGCCUUUCUUCCCCCGCCUCGGCAGAAUGGACUCACCAGGGGGCGAAGAACUCGACGAGCAUGAGGCCCGCAGAGCCCGUGUCGGAGAUGCGACUCUCGAAGUUGUCGUCCGUGAGUUCUAGCACGUCGGAGGCAGCGGCGAGGCGGGCCGCGGCAAGAAGCAGCGCCACACCCGGGAACAGCGCUAGGCGGCGGAGGCGCAUGGCGGCGAGACAUGGCCGCUUACCAACAAGAAGGGCAGAUGCAGCUUCCCCGAGCUGAUGCCAUUCGUUCACGUCUCAUCGAUACUUUCUCUCUCAUCGAGCAUUUGCAAGGCUUGAGCCAAGCUGUGCUGCGACACACUAUCAGGAGUUACUUGAUCCUUCCCGCCAGAAGAAACUUAUGUUGGGAGAUCAACACCAGCUAGUGGGCGUCUCUAUAAAGCCUCAACGUAUAGAACAGAUUUCACAUGCCCAGAGGCUGUUGAGCAGGCUUCAUGUGCGCUGCAGUCAGAGGCCACCUCUUUCUUUGUGGGCCGGAUGGGUCCUUGAGUGUAUCCUUUCAUGUCACUCAUUUUUAUCCUGGCUGUUGAUCAUCUGCCUAAUGACUUAUUUUUUGCUUCCCAAACUCCAUUGUCUCAUUCUCACUGCUUAUGUUAUUGCUCUUAUUAUUUCAGCUGCAUAAAUCAGAAAGAACUCCACUCUGUAUGUUUCCUUAAGAGACAACAGGUCCUCUCUUCAAAAACUUCAUCAUCUUCCUGAUCUUUUUGAAUACGAUCGUACUGAUGGUUGAAAUACGUGAGAACUGACAUUGUAUGAAAGAGGAAGUGAGGCCAGGCGCGGCGGCUCACACGUGUAAUCCUAGCACUGUGGGAGGCCGAGGCAGGCGGAUUGCCAAAGCUCAGGAGUUCAAGACCAGCCUGGGCAACAUGGUGAAACCCUGUUUCUACUAAAAAAUACAAAAAAUUAGCUGGGCGUGGUGGCAUGGCCUGUAGUCCCAGCUACUCGGGAGGCUGAGGCAGGAGAAUCGCUUGAACCCAGGAGGCGUAGGUUUCAGUGAGCUGAGAUUGUGCCACUGCAUUUCAGCCUGGGCGACAGAGUACAACUCUGUCUCAAAAAAAAAAAAAAAAGAAAAA
rnacentral:lncRNA from 1 species